CACAGUGGGACAUUACAAAUGUGCAAAUAAAAACAUUUUAAGGAAAAGUGUUGCAGUAUUUCAUACUGUCAGUUGAAGUUCUCCUUGCAAGCUAUUAUUUAUAAAUACUGAAGCUAAUACAAGUACUUCUUUAGUGAACAGUUUUUUGUACAGGACUCCAAGAUGUAAUUGCAUCUGAUUUGGUGUUAGGAUAAUUAAGCUUUGCUCCAGUACUCUUUUGAGCAUCCUGUAAGUUUUUUACAUGCAUUUUUACAACUUGGAAAUUUAGUAACUUAGUAUUUCUGUUCCACAGACAUCUCAGAGAUUGCAAGCUACAAGAAAGUUGAAAGUUAUUAAACAUUUACUGAGACUGAGCAAGAUGUAAAAAACCUGUUGUGAUGAAAAUAAAAGAUAAUCUUUAAGAUUCUGUCAGCUCGAGUAGGUCAAACUAAACCAAUACCUUGGUGAAGCAGCUGAACUCGAUACAGAGGUGGGAGUGAUGUCAGAAGGCAAGUGUGCAAGCGCAUAGCCAACAAGUACCGUAAGCCACAUUCAUCUAAGUUCAGUGCUUGUCAUGGCCACUGUGUCUGCCAAAGCUACAAGGAACAUCUGCUCCAGCCGAGUGAGGCCUGGUAGACUUGAGUGCAUCAGGUGGCUUGAAAGGACACUAGCGUGUUCUCGGCCAAACAUGAUCUUCAGAGCCUUGAGGUAUUUUUGAAGUUUCUUCAGAAACAUAAGUGGCAUCUUGAUCUGCAGCAAGCAGCGCGUACAGCGGCAGAGGGGGUAUUGAGUCUAUCUCUGUAUAAUCACGAGUACCAUCUUUUCCAGCUGUGAUGAUGAAUUGUCUGUUCCAAAACCCAUUCUGAUCCUCCUGUAGACUCACAUUCAAGUAUACAAACAUGCAUGGAAAAUUCUUUGGAAACAAAACCAUUAUGCUGCAUUGGUUGUUU